ACAUCCAGAGAAUUUAGCAGAGAUGCUUUAGUGCCUUCGGGAACUCUGAGACAGGUGCUGCAUGGCUGUCGUCAGCUCGUGUUGUGAAAUGUUGGGUUAAGUCCCGNAACGAGCGCAACCCUUAUCCUUUGUUGCCAGCACGUAAUGGUGGGAACUCAAAGGAGACUGCCGGUGAAUAAACCGGAGGAAGGUGGGGAUGACGUCAAGUCAUCAUGGCCCUUACGAGUAGGGCUACACACGUGCUACAAUGGCGCAUACAAAGAGAAGCGACCUCGCGAGAGCAAGCGGACCUCAUAAAGUGCGUCGUAGUCCGGAUUGGAGUCUGCAACUCGACUCCAUGAAGUCGGAAUCGCUAGUAAUCGUAAAUCAGAAUGUUACGGUGAAUACGUUCCCGGGCCUUGUACACACCGCCCGUCACACCAUGGGAGUGGGUUGCAAAAGAAGUAGAUAGCUUAACCUUCGGGAGGGCGUUUACCACUUUGUGAUUCAUGACUGGGGUGAAGUCGUAACAAGGUAAGCGUAGUGCU
rnacentral:rRNA from 1 species